rnacentral:rRNA from 1 species
AAAGUGGAGCAAUCCAUGAGUACAGUGGCGUACGGGUGAGUAACACGUGGAUUAUCUACCUUCUAGUGGGGAAUACCUCCGGGAAACUGGAGACAAUACCGCAUAAGCUCGUAAGAGGAAAGCAGCAAUGCGCUGGAAGAGGAGUCCGCGGCUGAUUAGCUAGUUGGCGGGGUAACGGCCCACCAAGGCGAAGAUCGGUAGCCGGCCUGAGAGGGCACACGGCCACACUGGCACUGAAACACGGGCCAGACUCCUACGGGAGGCAGCAGUGGGGAAUCUUGCACAAUGGAGGAAACUCUGAUGCAGCGACGCCGCGUGAGCGAUGAAGCCCUUCGGGGUGUAAAGCUCUUUCGACGGGAACGAUAAUGACGGUACCCGAAGAAGAAGCUGCGGCUAACUACGUGCCAGCAGCCGCGGUAAUACGUAGGCAGCAAGCGUUGUUCGGAAUUACUGGGCGUAAAGAGUGUGUAGGCGGUGUUCUAAGUUUGUCGUGAAAUCUCCCGGCUUAACUGGGAGGGUGCGGCGAAAACUGGAAUGCUAGAGGAUGGGAGAGGUAAGCGGAAUUCCUGGUGUAGCGGUGAAAUGCGUAGAUAUCAGGAGGAACACCUGUGGUGUAGACAGCUUACUGGACCAUUUCUGACGCUGAGACACGAAAGCGUGGGUAGCAAACAGGAUUAGAUACCCUGGUAGUCCACGCCCUAAACGAUGCAUACUUGGUGUGAGCGAUUCAUUUCGUUCGUGCCGGAGCUAACGCGUUAAGUAUGCCGCCUGGGGAGUACGGUCGCAAGGCUGAAACUC